UAUUAUUUGGCGCGUAAAUAUAAAAUACCUGAGUAGUAAUAGUUAUAAGCUUGAAACUCAAAGAAUUUGGCGGUGCUUUAGUCCUUUCAGAGGAAUCUGUCCUGUAAUUGAUAGUACACGAUUUUAUCUACUUAAUUUGGUUAAUCAAUUUAUAUACCGCCGUCGUAAGAUUAUCUUGUGGAGAGUAAAAAAAUUCUUUAUUUAUUAUUAUAAUUUAUGUCAGGUCAAGGUGUAGUUUAUGAUUAAGGAGAGAUGGAUUACAAUAAGUAUAUUUAUUAUGGAUAAUUAUUUUAAGUUUUAAUUUGAAGGUGGAUUUGAUUGUAAAUUAAUUGGAAUUAAUUUUUUGAUUUUGGCUCUAAAACGUGCACACAUCGCCCGUCGCUCUCGUUUUAAGAUGAG
rnacentral:rRNA from 1 species